CACCCCUGCACCCGAAGCUCCGCCACCGAGGCCAGCGCCUGCGACCAGGCACGCUGCCUGCGCCCCCAGACACAAACUCGCCGUCGGAGCAGACGGAGACACCCCCCGCGGCGCGGGGGGCCCUACACGCCCUCCAGAGAACCCAGGAAAUGAGGGAGGAGACGCUGGGACGGAGUGGCGACCCUCAGACAUCGCCAUAUACGUCGGGGGCACUGCAUGAGAACCCGCCGCGUCGCUUGGCGAGGCCCGCAAACCUGAAGGCGCCAGAGGCGGAGCAACGUGCGAGACAGGAUGCAGAGAGGCCCCUGGCUCAAGUCUCGGUCGACUUCCAGAACCCGCGCCGGCGUCGCUUGGCAGGCUGCUCACAGAAGCGGUCUGGAGGUUGGCGCUCUGCAGUCCAGCGGCCAGCGGCGCAGAGAAACAGGGAGAAAGCCGCGGUCUGCCCACGCUCCCCUGAUUCGAGCCCGCCCGCGACGACGCCGAAGGAAGGCUGCCGCGCAGCUGCUCAUCCACACUGCCCUCUCGCAAGGCGACGUUAAGACUCGGUCCUGCAGAGAAAGUCGGUCCUUCUGAGUCGCGGCCGAGGCCGCUGCUGUCGCUGGUCGAGACCAGCGAUGAGCCUUCUUCUGAAUCUCUUGGGUACGGGCAAGGAGGCGACUCCAGGAGGGACGGAAACCCGCGGGGAGGCUCGUCAGGUCGGGGCCCGGCUCCGGAGUCGCUGGGCCGCAGAGCAGAACCCUCUGAAAGAUUCACAGCCUCAGUAGACGCCUGGAGAUGCGGAUGACUCAUCUGCAUUGCAUGCGACACGUGGAAAGGGAAGUGGUGGACAGGGUCCAUGUGGGACGAGGUCACGGCCGCAAGGUCGAGAGGCCCGCAUCCCUGCGCCGCGUUCGCGACAGCAUGCAACCCGACAGAUGCUGGAAAAACGUAGCAGCCGCCCGUGGCUCCACUCCCGGGCCGCUGGAGCACGGUUCGCCCCAGCUCUUCGGCGCUUUCCGACUCCCUGCGUGCCUCCUCGCUCGCGAGCUCGAGGCCGCGGUGCCCGUCGGCGGCCCUCGGAUAGCCCACAGCCAGCGCGGGGCCCUGGGGUAUCCCGCCCACACCGAGUCCCGGGCCCUCAGAGUCCAAGCCUCCCCUCUUGCGCGCGGCUUCGGGGGCGGCGAACCCGCCGCCUCGCCCUGCGCCCGGAAGGUCGCCCAAGACCAUCCCGCUGGCCGCUGAAAUCUGCGACAGACAUGGCGGGGCCGACACGGAGGAGAAAGACGCCUCGACCUCAGGACGCGAGCCUCCGGCACCGGUGAGCACCACCGAGGACGGAGAAGGCAACGCUCGCCCCCCGUGCAAACUGCCCCCUAGACCUGGGGCGGCGAGGCUCGAGGUCGCAAGGUCAGAAGAGCCCCCCAGACUAGAAGUUGUGUCUGCUUGAGGGCUCGCGUCUUGCUCGCUGAGGCGCAAGGCGGUCGCAGGUCCAAGCCCCGGAGAAGAGACGGAAGGGCUCCCGUUGAUGAGGACUGCGGGACUCGAGGGCGCAGGAUAGAGACUCGUGAGCAAGGCGCCAUUCUGGAAAACAGGGACAGGCGGCGGCCCAGUUCCCGGCGGGCCUCCAGCCUUUUUUGGCAAGUCGCUCGGCGUCGGAGACUCGCCGACGAGCGCAGUCGGGGGACAUGCGUUAGGGGCGAAAGCGUUGGAGCCGUAGGAGGCCAGAGGCGAGAAGGGUAGGUGCGCACUCGCGGAGACAGGAGAGGAAAGCGCAGACGGCGCGGAACACGGAGGUGGACUAACGAGCGGGCCCGCGGCCACGAGACCAGGACUCUGAGAAGUUCGCCACUUCUUGGCCGGUCGCGGGCUGGGUCCGAGGGCGCUCGAGGCGGGGUCCGCAGGGUCCUGGGGCAGGGACGCAUGAUGCGCGUUGACUCCGCUGCACUCGGCCUCGGCACCAGUCGCCGCUUGCGCCGGGAGGAACUGCGGAGACAUCUGGACGGGCGGGGGAGGCAUUUGUGGGGCGCCAAGACUCGCGAAAGUGAGCCCACGCCUCACGCUGUCUCCGCCCUCGACGGCGUGUGGCCCCGCAGAGAAGAACGAGCACUGGCCGCGGGCAAACUCGCUGCCUGCGACACCUGCGAAAGGGGGUCCGGAGUCGAGUCCUGCGUUUGCGGGAGCUCCGUGAAAGUGCGUUGAGGGGUCCGCGCACUGGGGGGGAAACGGAGAAGCAGCGAGUGAGGAAGAUACUAAGAGAGACACGUUCUGGCUCGCUGCGACGGCCUGCAGCUGCUCCCGCUUUCUCUGUCGAUACUUGCGCGAGGCCACCCGCUGUCGCUCGCGCUUCACCCUCAGCGCCUCAGCUCGAUCCUGCUCCACCGAGGUCGCGGGCGGCGAUCCUCGAGUGCAUGCAGAUGCGAGGAGCUGAGGCACCGAGCUAGAGGGAAGAAAUGCCGCGGAGACGCCGCCUCCGCUGGGCGGGGACUGAUUCACAGGAUGCAUGCUGGAAUGCAGAGAUGCUCAAGUCCGACGGUCCGCGAUCCACAACUGUGGACCUGAGCGUCCUCUUUAGCAUAAUACGCGGCGGCAAAAAGUGUUCCAUCCAAAACAGCUCUAAUCGUACUCGUCGUUGAGCAGCGUUGCCGAGCUGAGGCGCGAGCUCUGAGCUUCCGAGUGCUCACUCCUAGGUGCACGUGCACCUCGAAAGCAGGGGGGGGGGCUCGGAGAAGGAGGGCAACAGAGAAGAGAGUAAGGGGAAAAAAGAAAAGUUACAGGUGAAAUAACGCGACGCACACACACGUAUACAAACGGCGACUGGAGUCACAUGCCUCCGAAUCGGGACACUCGCCGACAAGGAGAGAGACGACGUGCAUGCGACGGAAGGAAACGGGAAACAGACAAAGCCUCCAGCGGAGAGCACCGUCAGCGACGAGAUGGCAUUUUAGAAAAGUGCUCCGAGUCGUUUGGAUCCGCAAGACGUCGAGAAAUCCUUCGAGUUGAACGGGGACGACAGGCACGUCCUCGAAAAGCAGGCCGCCCUCGCGAGACCGACAGUCAAAAGAAGAAUGCACGUUCUCAGCGCCGGCUUUUCUGAACGGCGGUUAACGGUUAUUGGGGGGUCUUUGUACCGGUCUAAAAGUGCGCUCUCGGAAACCGUUUUUCUAGAAACUGGCGCGAUCUCCUGUAUCCUCGUACCACCAGGUUUCCACAACUCUCAGUUCCUCUCUGAGGUUCCCUCUAUUCCCGCGGCUCGAAAUCGCGCAGAUAUCUCAACACCUCACAUCAAUUAUCAUUCCGCUGUCCCGCAGGCGCAGAACGCUAUUCACUGAUGCGUUCCGUGCCCCGUUGUCUGUACAUUAGACAUUUCUAAUCUUUGGCUGGACAGGCGCCAAGAGCGCCGCACAGAGUGCAGCGGGAGGCCAAAGGGAAGGGGAGACGAACGGAGCAUCAACGGAAAAGAAAAGUCGACAGACGCCGUGCCAGGCCAUCCUCUCUUCCACACGGAAGGGUCGACAAAAAGAGGGAGGAACCCGGAAGCCGCGCCUCGGGAACAUCAACGCUGCGCUUCAGAGGGGGGAAGCUCGAGGCUCUGCUCCAGCAUUGCGGAUGGCGGGACGAACGUGGGAUGUGUGAAGAGGAGUGGCAGGGACAAAGUCCCUUGAGACGAGAAAAAUAAACGCGUGAAGGGGUUUCCGAAAAAGCAAAAUCGCGACAGACAUCGAGCGCGAAAAAAGGUGGAACGCCUGCAACUCAAAACGCCAGGACGGAGCGGCCGCCUGUCUGGCUAGCUGUCUCGCAAGUUCCCUUUUCCUCGCGAAUCUACUCCUCGAAAAAAGAAACUUACCGGCACUUCGGGGACUCGGGAAUAUAAAGACUGUCUUUCUUUUCGCGUCGCCUCUUGCAGAGCCAAAGUGGACUGCAACACAUGCAGAACGCAAGCACGGUGCGCAACGUCGCACCGCAGGCUUUGCGAGUCUCUGCGCGGGACCCAUCGAAGCUUCUCAAAAGAAACCGCCGCGUUAAACGUCUCGCCAUUCUCUCAGACCUGGUAGAGGGAAAAAGGACGACUCUCCUGUUACAGUCCGUCUUCCUUUUGACUUGGACUCCCCAAAGCCGUGUUUUCGGUGAAGCAAGCACACUCGGGAAUCUUCAGAGACCCGCCUUGGUGCGCUGUCCUACAUUCGGUAGUCCAUGCCUUGAACACCACACAUGCUUUCUUUUAUGGUUUACUUUCAUGAUUUCAGACUAGUUUAAGAGUCCAAAUGAUUGGCCGAGUAGUUAGCGUCAAACGUGUCCGACCAAGUCUCCACGUCGCUGCAGAGAGGGGUAUGAGUGGCUUGUGCCUCCUUGGUUCCCACAGACAUUGAACAGAAAGGACUGAAGACGAGUUUCAUCUGAAUUAUCGUUGAUUUUCUUCGACAAGUGAUUCAGAGAAGAGUAUUUUAGGUCGUGUUCAAAAACAAUACGAAAAAGUAGUGCGCCCUCCACACUGUUGCCGAGUGUGCCUAAAUUUUUUCAACGACCUCUGUGUCAAAGCCAUCUCAUGACCUAGUACUUAGGUAAACAAGAAGUUUUCCCAAUGGGGUGAACUGACGGCUCGUUCUCGCAAACAGCUCUCUCUAAGCGUUCUUCUGG
rnacentral:lncRNA from 1 species